UGGGGAAUAUUGCACAAUGGAGGGAACUCUGAUGCAGCGACGCCGCGUGAGUGAUGAAGGAAUUCGUUUCGUAAAACUCUGUUCUAUGGGAAGAAAAGGACUGUACCAUAGGAGAAAGCUCCGGCUAAAUACGUGCCAGCAGCCGCGGUAAUACGUAUGGAGCGAGCGUUGUCCGGAAUUAUUGGGCGUAAAGGGUGCGCAGGCGGCUUUACAAGUUGGAUGUGAAAUAUUGUGGCUCAACCACAAACGUGCAUCCAAAACUGCAAAGCUUGAGUUAAGGAGAGGUAAGUGGAAUUCCUGGUGUAUCGGUGGAAUGCGUAGAUAUCCGUAGGAAUACCGGUGGCGAGGGCGACUUACUGGACUUAAACUGACGCUCAGGCACGAAAGCGUGGGGAGCAAACAGG
rnacentral:rRNA from 1 species